rnacentral:rRNA from 1 species
GACGUAGGGGGCAAGCGUUAUUCGGAAUCAUUGGGCGUAAAGCGCUCGUAGGCGGAUCGAACAGUCGGUGAAGAAAGACCUGGGCUCCACUCAGGGAACGGCACCGAUACUAUCGGUCUUGAGGCAAUCAGAGGAUGAUGGAAUUCCCGGUGUAGCGGUGAAAUGCGUAGAGAUCGGAAAGAACACCAACGGCGAAAGCACUCUGCUGGGCCGACACUGACACUGAGAGACGAAAGCUAGGGGAGCGAAUGGG